rnacentral:rRNA from 1 species
GAUGAACGCUGGCGGCGUGCUUAACACAUGCAAGUCGAACGAUGAAGCCCAGCUUGCUGGGUGGAUUCGUGGCGAACGGGUGAGUAACACGUGAGUAACCUGCCCUUAACUCUGGGAUAAGCCUGGGAAACUGUGUCUAAUACCGGAUAGGAGCGUCCACCGCAUGGUGGGUGUUGGAAAGAUUUAUCGGUUUUGGAUGGACUCGCGGCCUAUCAGCUUGUUGGUGGGGUAAUGGCUCACCAAGGCGACGACGGGUAGCCGGCCUGAGAGGGUGACCGGCCACACUGGGACUGAGACACGGCCCAGACUCCUACGGGAGGCAGCAGUGGGGAAUAUUGCACAAUGGGCGCAAGCCUGAUGCAGCGACGCCGCGUGAGGGAUGACGGCCUUCGGGUUGUAAACCUCUUUCAGUAGGGAAGAAGCGAAAGUGACGGUACCUGCAGAAGAAGCACCGGCUAACUACGUG